rnacentral:rRNA from 1 species
GAUUUCUGGCUUGACGAGGCUGACCCUUCCCUUUCGGGUUGUGUGUCGGUUCUUGUCUGCCAUCCUUCCACAAAACCUUUCUACCUUUAACUGGGCCGGAUUGGCGAUGUGGAACUUUUACUUUGAAAAAAUUAGAGUGUUCAAAGCAGGCGUUCGCUGUGAAUACAUUAGCAUGGAAUAAUAAUCUAGGACUUACGUUCUAUUUUGUUGGUUUUCAGGACUAAGUAAUGAUUGAUAGGGAUAGUUGGGGGUGCUAGUAUUCAGCGGCCAGAGGUGAAAUUCUUGGAUUCGCUGAAGACUAACUUAUGCGAAAGCAUU